rnacentral:rRNA from 1 species
GGUGUUUAGUAAAGUGUAUUUAAACAAAGUGUUGAACGUUGUGGUGUUAGUUUAUAUAAUGUCCCUUCAUUAAUGUAUAUAAAGUCUCUUAUUAAAGUAUAUAAUGUGUCUUUACUCAAAGUGUUGAACGUGGUUGUUUAACUUUGUAUUUAAAGUAUCUAGAACGUGUCUAGUUGGUGUGUGUCCAUGUAUCUAUAGUCGUUUUACUCAAAGUCGUUUAUAGUAAACGUGUCUAUACGUGUUAGACAUCCCUAAAUAGACACACUCCUGUAGUUCAUCAAUAAAUAUGAUUGAUGAUGCUCGUUCUUGACUGAUUCUCCUAUCGUUAAUGCUUUAAAAUGACUAGAAGCAGGAGGAACGGUCUAGGGUCUCCUCACCACCGUCUCCGCGAGGAGUUGUGACCGGCAGCUGUAGCACGCCUAGACCUGCUGCUGCAGCUCACCUAGACCAGCUACGUCCCAUGCUCGCGACUGGCCCGAUCUACCCCUGCUUGGACAGAGCGACCUAGAGUAACCUCGUACUCCCGAAAACAUGAACAUGCGCACCACCAGCGGUACCGGCCGCGGCCGGCCCCUUCCUCCUAGGUCGCCGCCCCACCGACCAGCCGCGGCAGCGGGUACUGCCGCAGGCUGUCGCUGCAGGUCUGCCGCCCCGGCCGGCGCCCGAGCCCCCGGCAGGUCCACUCUUCGACCCGCGCUUCUCCUUGCCGCGGCCGCCGGCACUCCCUUUCCUGCUCGCACCGCCGCGGCCGGUACCCACUCUCCUCCGCUCGGUCACACGCCCUAGCUCUCCUAUACCCUAGCUCUGCACCCAAGGUAAAACAUAACGUAGACAUAUCCAG